rnacentral:rRNA from 1 species
GAUGAACGCUGGCGGCGUGCCUAAUACAUGCAAGUCGAGCGAACAGAUGAGGAGCUUGCUCCUCUGACGUUAGCGGCGGACGGGUGAGUAACACGUGGAUAACCUACCUAUAAGACUGGGAUAACUUCGGGAAACCGGAGCUAAUACCGGAUAAUAUAUUGAACCGCAUGGUUCAAUAGUGAAAGACGGUUUUGCUGUCACUUAUAGAUGGAUCCGCGCCGCAUUAGCUAGUUGGUAAGGUAACGGCUUACCAAGGCAACGAUGCGUAGCCGACCUGAGAGGUUGAUCGGCCACACUGGAACUGAGACACGGUCCAGACUCCGACGGGAGGCAGCAGUAGGGAAUCUUCCGCACUGGGCGGAAGCCGGACGGAGCAACGCCGCGUGAGUGAUGAAGGUCCUCGGAUCGUAAAACUUUGUUAUUAGGGAAGAACAAUUGGGUAAGUAACUAUGCACGUAUUGACGGUACCUAAUCAGAAAGCCACGGCUAACUACGUG